AGAAAAACACAGCCGCUCUUUGAGAAAAGUUAAUGCUUCUUAGUUCAGUUUGAUGCCGAUAAAUCAGUAUUUAUUUUACUUAAUUACGUAUAUUGCUGGGGAUUGAAAUCAUAAUCGUCAUUUUUCUCUUUACAAACAUCCUUGGACGCUGUUCAAGUCAAAAACGAUGGCAUAAUGUGAAAUAAUUCAAGAGAGACAACUCCAUCAUGUCAACUUCAGAGUGGCCCGAAGUGGUGGGACUUCCCUGGAAAGAAGCUGAGAAGCGUAUAAGAUCCGAGUACCCUAAUAUUUCAAUCCAGGUUCUGCCGGAAGGGAGUUGUGUGACGAUGGACUACCGGACAGACCGGGUCAGGCUAUUUACAGACGGGGACGGAAAAGUAGUGCAUAUUCCCACGAUUGGAUAAAUCUGUUGUGGGUCAUCACUGAAAAUAUUAUAAAAUAUUUAAAAAAAAAAACCCUAAGACAAGAUUAUAUUGCAAUCGUGUUCAAAAUACACACAAGAAAUCGUGUUAAAAUUUGGAAAAAAAUGACGUUAAAUUUUUAUAUAUGCUAGAUCUAUUAAAAAUUGGACUAGAUUUCAAUUAUGAUAAUAUAAUGUAUCAAAGUUAGUUGACGUCGAAAAAAAUUAGCUGCAGAACUUUAGCCUUAUGAUUUUAUAUUUUAGUCUUCAGCCAUAAAGCUACAGAUCCUGUAACGCAAAUAUGGUGCAAUUUACGGCGCAAGAUUUUCUGCGCACUUUGGGGAUUAUUUCGCCACUUUCCAGCAUUGGUCAAUCAACUACCUUUCAUUUCCUAAUUCUAGACAUAUUCUAUAACAAAUCUGUAUAUUCUAUCCACCUCCUAACCGUUAGUCGUCUCUACAGACCAAUAAACUCGCUUGUGAA